AGCUAGCGGCCGUUGGGGAUGAAUAUUGUCCUAAAAGCAAAAAAAGAACAAAACAACUAAAAAAAAAAAAAAACCGGAGAAGGGGGUUAAGGGCAAACACCACGUGGCUGCAGGAGGAUUACAAGAUUUCCUUUCCUUUCUCUACUGACAAGAUUGCAAAAUGUGUGAACCAGAAGGCACAGCCAGGACGGGAGCGUGAGGCACUGUAGGCAAGAUUUAUCGUCAGGCGUGGUGGCAUAUGUCUUUAACAUCAUCGUUCAGAAGGCAGAGAGGCAGGUAGAUCUCUGUGAAUUUUGAGUCCAGCCUGGUCUACCUGCGUUUUUUCUCUCCCUACCGGAAAUCUGAUGGGCUUAUGACAUCAUGGCUGGCUGCUGAGCGAUGGAGUGGAUGCCACAAAGAAAUCCGACAUGUCAGAUGGAUUCAGAAAUCCCUUUCCCUCCUGCGGCUGGAGGAACAGGCGUGGAGUCGGGAGAGUCUGAGCUUUGUUUGAGAAAUUAUUAAGAAAAAAAAAAAAAAACCCAAACCAAGUCUUGCCUGACAUUAAAAGCAGUUUUCUUUAAAAUG
rnacentral:lncRNA from 1 species